GGGCAUUGUGAGAGGGACAGAGAGAUUCUGGCUGUGAGGUGCCCAGCAUUUGGCUGGUGACUGCCACAGUCGACAACUCAGAAAGGUAUAAGUUUUUCCUGUCAGUCAACCCCUCAGGACACAUCAGCUGUGAAUCAUCACGCCUGGUGGGGGACAUCUUCCACAGGAACUGAGGGAAACGGUCCAUGGCUAUUGAUGGAAGAGAAACACCUUUGGCCUAACAGUAAACAGAUGGUGGGUAGCUGGGUAAGUUGCAUGCACACAAUCUGUGCGCUUCCUUUGUGUGUAGCAUGGUUCAUGUACAACGUUUACCUUAAAAACAAAACAAGAUAAAUAGCUCCUCACGUCUAAGGAAGGAGAUUGGAAGGCAGAUGUUUAUGUUCGGAUCCGUGGGGCGCCAGAGAACUCAACAAAUGAUGGGGCAAAUUCUCAUCUCUACUCCCACCUCAGCCUCUAGGAGUGACGGCGGCGCAAGCGAGAGCGCUCGCCAGGCUGCGGGGAAUCCAGCAGCCAGAAAAAGAUGAAAGAGCAGGCGAUCGAUAGCAGAGAAGGCGCGGGACUGAGAGGCAGGCAGGAUUUGGGCAAGGAGAGCAUCUUGAAAGCCCUGGUUGAAAGCACGGCCUGAGCCCGGGCGAGCUCCUCUGCCAGGAAGGAGUCAGCCCCCAGCGCGAGGCGGGGGCGAAAGAACUGCUCCCGCGGAGCUCCGCCUCCGCAUGAACGGGCCAGGGGACGCGGGGGACACCCGCUGGAACCCUCCUCGGGUGAGGCCUCUCCAGGGUGCAGCUCCACCCGCACGGUUUAAACAACGAAACGAAACUCUCCUGCCUUCCGAACAGGGGCCCGGACAUAUUGAGAAAAUCUCAACAGGUGUAACCACAGAUGUCAGUGUCCUGGUGAUAGAUGGAGCGCCACCUCACAGCCUGCAGGGCCGGGCAAGGCAAUGAAGACCCCUCACAGCACCAGAAGUCUGUCCUCAGAGGAAGGCUACUCAGGACCUAUGCUACCUAGAACCUCCCAACCUUCCUGCCCCGUGCACUUGAAGCUUUUUGGAUGCAAUUUGCAGAGAAUUGAAGACUCAGACAGUCUUCAGAAUGGUUUCACAUGGGGGAGUGGAGGAGCGGGCACUGAGACUCCAGACCCAGCCAUGUGCUUCCCAGAUUACCUCAAAGUUUGCCCCUCUGUUCUGUCUCCUCCUUACCUCUGCUCGACCCAGAAAAGCUGCUGAAAACUCA